CCCUACUAUUACAGGCCCUACUAUUACAGGCCCUACUAUUACAGGCCCUACUAUUACAGGCCCUACUAUACAGGCCCUACUACACAGGCUUACACCUUUAUCCUAAAGGAGUAGCAGACCCUUGUUGUCUUCCUGUGAUUAGAGCCCUACUAUACAGGUCAGACUCACUCCAGGGGUAAAGGCUAAAACCAGGCUCACUCCAGGGGAAGGGCUAACAUCAGGCUAACACCAGGCUCACUCCAGGGGAAAGGCUAACAUCAGGCUAACUCCAGGUGUAAGGCUAACAUCAGGCUAACUCCAGGUGUAAGGCUAACAUCAGGCUAACUCCAGGUGUAAGGCUAACAUCAGGCUAACUCCAGGUGUAAGGCUAACAUCAGGCUAACUCCAGGUGUAAGGCUAACAUCAGGCUAACUCCAGGUGUAAGGCUAACAUCAGGCUAACUCCAGGGGUAAGGCUAACAUCAGGCUAACAUCAGGCUCACUCCAGGGGUAAGGCUAACAUCAGGUUAACAUCAGGUUAACAUCAGGCUCACUCCAGGGGUAAGGCUAACAUCAGGUUAACAUCAGGUUAACAUCAGGCUCACUCCAGGGGUAAGGCUAACAUCAGGCUAACUCCAGGUGUAAGGCUAACAUCAGGCUAACUCCAGGUGUAAGGCUAACAUCAGGCUAACUCCAGGUGUAAGGCUAACAUCAGGUUAACAUCAGGCUCACUCCAGGGGUAAGGCUAACAUCAGGUUAACACCAGGCUCACUCCAGGGGUAAGGCUAACAUCAGGUUAACACCAGGCUCACUGCAGGGGUAAGGCUAACAUCAGGUUAACACCAGGCUCACUCCAGGGGUAAGGCUAACAUCAGGUUAACACCAGGCUCACUGCAGGGGUAAGGCUAACAUCAGGUUAACACCAGGCUCACUGCAGGGGUAAGGCUAACAUCAGGUUAACACCAGGCUCACUCCAGGGACAAUCACAGGGUAGUUUAUUUAGCUGUUCACACUGGGGUUUUGCACCAUUGCAGGCCGUAGGCCAUAUUACUGUGUGUGUGUGU